AGGAUUUUUAUUAGAAUUUAAUUUAAAAUUUAGGAUUUAUUUAGGAUUUGAUUUAGGAUUUGAUUAAGGAUCUAUGAUUUAAUCUAGGAUUUGACUUAAGAUUUAGAAUUUUUUUAGAUAAGAUUUAGGAUUUGAUUUAGGAUUUAGGAUUUGAUCUAGAGUUUGUUUUAUGGUUUAGGAGUUUUCUAGGGUUUGAUUUAGGAUUUGGUUUGGAAUUUAGGAUUUAUCUAAGAUUUAGUUUAAGGUCUAAGGUUUGAUCUAAGUUUUGAUUUAGAAUUUAGAAUUUGUCUGAGGCUUGAUUUAGGGUUUGAUUCAGGAUUUAAGAUUUGUCUAGGGUUUGAUUUAGAGUUUGAUUUAGGAUCUAUGAUUUGAUCUAAGAUUUAGUCUAGGAUUAAAGAUUUGUCUAGGAUUUGAUUGAAGUCUAGUAGGAUUUCAACUAGGAUUAAAUUAGAACUUGAUUGAGAUUUAUUUAAGAUUUAUUUGUGAUUAUUUUAAUAUUUUUUAAGGCUUCUUAAGGAUUCUUUUAAGAUUUAUUGUAUAUUUUUUUCAACUCCUUUAAGAUUUUUUAUUGUUUCUUUUGUAAUUUCUUUAA
rnacentral:lncRNA from 1 species